UUUUAGAUUCGAAUCUGAGAUUCGAAUCUAACUUAUUCUCAGUGCAUCAUGUGGCAUUCUGUAUUGUUUCUUGUUUAUGAGUAUCUAUUUUUUUUAUUGGAUAAUGAUGUCACGUGAUUGUUCGUGAUAGGCCAGAAUUCAAAUGAACUAAUACGUGAUUAUUUAGUUCAAUUAUUGUUUAAAACGGCGUUUAAUUACCGCCUCCAACUUAGAUGGUUGAAAUGGCUAUCUGCAAUUUUCUCGACAGGCGGAUGUACGAGUGUAAUGAGUGAGAAAGAUUUUGAAAGUGAUUGAAUUUAUCAGUGUAGCAUUCUACGUUGAAAAAUAAAACAAAAACUACAAUUGGCGAUUAACAUCUUUUUAUUUUUGUAUAUAACGAACCAUUAUAAGGUUUAUAUUUUCUUAAUUUAGCACAGCAAUCCCUUUGAGAAGUAUGCAUCUAAAUUUUUUAACUUUGUAUGUAGUAUGUAUUUUCUGCAAAGUCAAAUGCAUACUAUUUCAUUUUAUAGUGCCUUUGUUACAAAUUAUUUAACUUUACAAACAAAUUAUUGUGUCCGUUCCGAAAUAAGACAUUCAGUGAUAUAAGUAGUUACUUCAUGUAUUGAUUUUGUAAUGAGGUUUCACUAAAUGGUAAAGUUUUUUGACUUUAUCUCUGCCUCAUCUGUUCUGGAAUAUUUGAGUUAAUAAUACUUGCUGCUUUGCAGACCUUGUAAGAUGUUUUAAAACUAGAAUUUCUAUUACACCUCUUACAAAUAAACAGUUAAAAUGUUUAUGUUUUAAUGAGUUGAGCACAAGUAGGUACGGUCUCAGGCACAGGUUGGUGCCUGUCAAUAGAAGCAAACACAAUUUGCAUUAACACAUUUUGUGCAGAAGCAUUAUCACAACUUUGAUUUUACAUGUAUGUACCAGCAUAGAAGUGCUCAUACUCAGGGUUGCUAUGGUCAGGGAUUUCCAUGUACCCUUGAAAAGUCAGGGAAAUCACAAGAAUUUCUGGAAUUUACAAUGUAUAAUAUGAACCAACAUACUUUCCUGCACAAUGUUAAAAUGUAAAUUUUUUAAUGUUGUUUAAGAAAACAUUUAUUUCUUCUGUAAUUUUUAAUUGACACGACACAAAGCAGAUGGACAAGACGACAUUUAACAAACCAUACUAGACCUCAUUGUACAUAUUUACAAAAGAAAGUAACAUGUAUGAGACUAAGAUGUUUUAUUGAGACGUUUAGGUUUGUACUGCAAUAUUAUUCGCACAUUGUUUCAUAUUUAACAAAUAAUCAAUUAUGAUUAAAAGUACUUUUAAAAUUUGAUGUUAUAGUUGUGUGUUAGUUCAAUUGUGGUGCUACACAUAUUAGUAUAAACAAUUCAUGUUUUGGUUUAUUUUGGCGGUUAAUUUGUUCUAUUUGAAGUACUAUUGCUCAAAGUUAUACCAUUCAUCUCAAAGUAAACUUAAGCUAAGUAAUACUAAGAGACAAACUUUCUGAAAGGUCAUGUCUUAUUACUAAUUAUGUGAUCGUGCUGAAAAUGUGCGGGAUAAAAAUUGCAGUUUAACAAUUUUUUAAAAUAAGUUACCAAUUUCAGCAACAAUCAUAUGUAAUGUCCUAGAAAACCUGGAAAAGUCAGGAAAUUUAAUGCCAAAAAUAUGUUUAGCAACCCUGACGCUCCUUUCUUUAAUAUCACAUUUCUUGCCUGCAGGAUAUUUGCAAUGCUUUUCAAUUACUUACAUAAUAUGUAUCUAUAUUACAUUUUUGUAAUAAUUAUCAUUCAUUACCUUUCUGGACCAAUUUCAAACCUUCAAAGUCUGGGAUUAAGCAUUGCAUUUAUUUGUUUUUCAUUUGCUAGCUUUCCUCAUGAAAACCACUGGCAGAAACAUAUGCAGAUUGUGUGGCAGCUGUGUUAUCAAUUCAAAUACUGAGUAAAUACAUUCAAAAGUUUUUUUGGAAGACUAUUUUAUAUUAAACUGUUGCAGGUGGAUAUAGGAAAUUUAUAGUGGUAACGGUGUGGAAAAGAUCAACAGGUUUAUACAUCUCAUAUUCAUUUCUAUACAUGCAAAAAUAGUUAAUAUUCACACUGCUGAUAUUUUAAUUUCUAUAUAUACAUACUUAUUUCUUUUACACGUACUUUGAAGUGUAAGUUUAUCGUGAUAUAUUAAUUAAAUAAUUGAAACUUCUUUUUACAACUCUCCAGCACUAUGCGAAAAGGACUGUAGAAAACAACAGUUCCACAUAUGUUAUAGAGCCAAAAACUGUUAAGUCUUGUGUCUCGUCUGCAAGAGAAGUGGUUGGGAGCUUUUCCUGUAUCUGCUUCUGCCCAGAUAAAUGUACCACGAUGCCGACCGACCGCCGACAAACCCUCUACACCAGUUGUGGCCAAAAACAUGACACCAGAUGCAAGCUCCACCGAGUAGUAGACAGCAGCUUCCCCUCUUAGUGACCUGGAACUAUGGGGUGUCUGCAGUCCUCUGUAGUCACUUUUUAAAACAAAAGUUCCAAUUUUAGACAUCUAACAUGAAUUGCUAUGGUGACAACGUUGUGCAUAAUUGUGGCUGACGAUGCAAAAGACGACAAAGAGAGAUAAAGGCAGAUGGACUACUAAUUACAAUAAAACAUUAAGAUUGUAGUGUGUGUACUCACAGGUAACCACUCUGACAGAACACUUGACACAGGUGGAUGACAUGUUUUGCGCGGAAUGUCUGUUCACAAUCUAUGAGUUGGUGUUGUCUGUCUGUGAGUGCUUACGUGUGAGUACUCGGCUACUCACACUACUAUCUUAAUGUUAUGUAGUGUUAUAAAAAACAAUAAAAUAAGUAAUUGUAACAUACAUAGUACAUGCAUGAAUUUUCCAAGAAUAAUGAAAGAAAUGUGUCAAGAUAAUAGAGGUGUGAAUGGGUUAAAGCAUUUAACAUUAUAAAGGGACUAAAGAAAUGUCAACUUAAUACAAAGGAAAACUAUAUAACAGGGUAGUUGUAGCUUUAAAAAUGGGAUUAGGGACUAAAAGAAACCAACUUCGUUACCAGGAAAAUAUUACAAGUGGGAACAUUGCAUUAGCAUUACACUGUAUUCAAUUGAGCAUGAUGCAUGAUGUUCAAUGUUACCUACUUCUCCAUAAUUUGCACAAAUUUUUGCUGCGGAAUUAAUGGUGAAAAUCAUGGAAAUACAUUGAAUGUAUUAGUAUAUAUUUAUUUCUGACCAAUAUUGUAACCCAUUGGACUUACCAACUUUUUGACAGUCUGUUUUCCUAUGUCCUAAGUGUUGUUAUGGUAUAUUUUAAAAUACAGGAAAAUAAUUAUCAUGCACUGCCAUACAAUACAAUUAUAAUGAAUAGUGGCAAAUACUUCACAGCUAAGGGAAUAGUUUUGCAUAUUGCAAUAAACUAAUUUUGUAGAGAAUAAAACCUGAAAAUUUUUAUUUUUUUAUGUUAAUUUAACUGCCGGCACACUUUAUAUUAACUGUACUGUAAAAUGGGAAGGGGUAGAGAUAAUUGAUCUGAAGGCUUAUUUUUCUAACAAAUCAAACACAAAUUUAGGUAUAAGACAUUUUAGAAAUUCAUUAUUGGAUUUAUGACUUUGUGUAAGAGGUACGUUUUAGGUAUAGCAAGUAUAGUUUUUAAGAUUUAACUUAUAAAUUUAUUAGAAAUUUUUGACAAGUUAAUAUUAACCCUUUCCUGCCUGGUGGUACUUGUGAGUCCCACAAUGUUUGAAGCCCCAUAGAAAUAGUGUGUGCAUGUUUGAAACCACAUGCUGACUGUCGGGACCUCUGGGUCCCUGUAUAGCUCCGCUCUGCCAGUUGUCGAAGAAGUUCGAUUGACAGCCAAGAGGUUGCAGCACUAAAACGGCAGCACUGCACCAGUCUGGAGCGCCCUUUUUUUUGUUUGUUGAGCUGGACAUAUGAUAAAUGCCUGUCAGGACUUAAAAGUCCCAUCAUUAAAAAAAAUAUUAAAUAUAAAUAAAAAA